CCUACGGGAGGCAGCAGUGGGGAAUAUUGCGCAAUGGGCGAAAGCCUGACGCAGCGACGCCGCGUGAGGGAUGAAGGUCUUCGGAUCGUAAACCUCUGUCAGCAGGGAAGAACGGUCACUGUGCUAAUCAGCAGUGCAUUGACGGUACCUGCAAAGGAAGCACCGGCUAACUCCGUGCCAGCAGCCGCGGUAAUACGGCGGGUGCGAGCGUUAAUCGGAAUUACUGGGCGUAAAGCGCUCGUAGGCGGUAUGUCAAGUCAAGGGUGAAAUCCCCGCGCUCAACGUGGGAACUGCCUUUGAAACUGGCAAACUGGAGUGUGUGAGAGGAUAGUGGAAUUCCAGGUGUAGGAGUGAAAUCCGGAGAUAUCUGGAGGAACAUCAGGGGCGAAGGCGACUAUCUGGCACAUAACUGACGCUGAGGAGCGAAAGCGUGGGUAGCAAACAGGAUUAGAUACCCUUGUAGUC
rnacentral:rRNA from 1 species